GGAAGACGAGGGGAAGUAAUGAGAGGAGGAGUAAUAAAAGUGAAAACAAAAACUAAAAACUAAAAUUUAUUUGAAAUUGUUUUCACUUUUGUUACUCCUCCUCCCAUCCUCCCCUCUCUAUCUCAA
rnacentral:miRNA from 1 species